rfam:Moniliophthora roreri MCA 2997 sctg_0264_0001, whole genome shotgun sequence.
GGCCGACUAGCUCAGUUGGUUAGAGCGUCGUGCUAAUAUCAAGGUCUCUCCAUGUUAGAUAUUUACGCGAAGGUCUUGGGUUCGAUCCCCACGUUGGCCA